rnacentral:rRNA from 1 species
GAUGAACGCUGGCGACGUGCUUAACACAUGCAAGUCGAACGAAGCACUUCAUUUGAUUUCCUUCGGGACUGAUUAUUUUGUGGCUGAGUGGCGGACGGGUGAGUAACGCGUGGGUAACCUGCCUUGUACAGGGGGAUAACAGUUGCAAACGGCUGCUAAUACCGCAUAAGCGCCCGGCAUCGCAUGAUGCAGUGUGAAAAACUCCGGUGGUAUAAGAUGGACCCGCGUUGGAUUAGCUAGUUGGUGAGGUAACGGCGCACCAAGGCGACGAGCCAUAGCCGACCUGAGAGGGUGCCCGGCGGCAUUGGGACUGAGACACGGCCCAAACUCCUGCGGGAGGCAGCAGUGGGGAAUAUUGCACAAUGGGCGAAAGCCUGAUGCAGCGAGGCCGCGUGAGCGAAGAAGUAUUUCGGUAUGUAAAGCUCUAUCAGCAGGGAAGAUAAUGACGGUACCUGACUAAGAAACACCGGCUAAAUACGU